rnacentral:rRNA from 1 species
UUCCGGUUGAUCCUGCCGGAAGCCAUUGCUAUUGGGAUCCGACUUAGCCAUGCUAGUUCAACGGGCGCAAGCCCGUGGCGAACAGCUCAGUAACACGUGGCCAAGCUACCCUCUGGACCGGAAUAACCUCGGGAAACUGAGGCUAAUACCGGAUACCGCUUCCAUCCUGGAACUGGAGGAAGCCGGAAACGCUCCGGCGCCAGAGGAUGCGGCUGCGGCCGAUUAGGUAGACGGUGGGGUAACGGCCCACCGUGCCGAUAAUCGGUACGGGUGGUGAGAGCCAGAGCCCGGAGACGGUAUCUGAGACAAGAUACCGGGCCCUACGGGGCGCAGCAGGCGCGAAACCUUUACAAUGCACGCAAGUGCGAUAAGGGGAUCCCGAGUGCGAGGGCAUAUCGUCCUCGCUUUUCUGGACCGUAAGGUGGUCCAGGAACAAGGGCUGGGCAAGACCGGUGCCAGCCGCCGCGGUAAUACCGGCAGCCCAAGUGAUGGCCAAUAUUAUUGGGCCUGAAGCGUCCGUAGCCGGCCGGAUAAGUCCGUCGGGAAAUCUACCCGCUUAACGGGUGGGCGUCCGGCGGAAACUGUUCGGCUUGGGGCCGGAAGGCCAGAGGGGUACGUCCGGGGUAGGAGUGAAAUCCUGUAAUCCCGGGCGGACCGCCGGUGGCGAAAGCGCCUCUGGAGGACGGACCCGACGGUGAGGGACGAAAGCUAGGGUCUCGAACCGGAUUAGAUACCCGGGUAGUCCUAGCCGUAAACGAUGCUCGCUAGGUGUGGCACAGGCUACGAGCCUGUGCUGUGCCGUAGGGAAGCCGUGAAGCGAGCCGCCUGGGAAGUACGUCCGCAAGGAUGAAACUUAAAGGAAUUGGCGGGGGAGCACUACAACCGGAGGAGCCUGCGGUUUAAUUGGAUUCAACGCCGGG